UGGGGAAUCUUGGACAAUGGGGGCAACCCUGAUCCAGCCAUGCCGCGUGGACGAUGAAGGUCUUCGGAUUGUAAAGUCCUUUUGGCGGGGACGAUAAUGACGGUACCCGCAGAAUAAGCCCCGGCUAACUUCGUGCCAGCAGCCGCGGUAAUACGAAGGGGGCUAGCGUUGUUCGGAAUUACUGGGCGUAAAGCGCGCGCAGGCGGUCUGUUAAGUUAGGGGUGAAAUCCCUGGGCUCAACCCAGGAAUUGCCUUUAAGACUGGCAGGCUUGAGUGCGGGAGAGGUGAGUGGAAUUCCCAGUGUAGAGGUGAAAUUCGUAGAUAUUGGGAAGAACACCGGUGGCGAAGGCGGCUCACUGGCCCGUAACUGACGCUGAGGCGCGAAAGCGUGGGGAGCAAA
rnacentral:rRNA from 1 species